UUUGUGCUACAGAAAGAAGGGGUGGGGGGAAGAAAGAAGGGGGGGAGGUGACGUGCGGAGAGCUGGACCCACAUGCAGGGCGCGAUGAGCGGCCGGAGACCCGCCUCUGUAGGGCCAGCGGGAGUGCGGGGCAGGUGGGUGUUUUCCGUGCCUUUUGGUCCCUGUGUGAGGAUCAGUGCGCGGUGGCUUUGUACAGUUUACGCAGUGAUUUGGAAAAGGGAAGUUUCUAUUUAUUAUUUGAACACAGGGUAAGACUCCCCUGGCUUUUAGAGGUCAUACUCUGCUCCACCAACUCCAGGCUGAUUUCUAGGUAUUCCUUCCGUGCACCUGAGUGUAUUUAACGCCAAGGUUGAGAAGGGGGAGAAGUUUAUACUCAGAUAAAGCUGGUCAUAUGAGAGUGUAAUGUAUUACCUCAACUUGUGACUUAUUCUGUAACACUUAAAAACUAGUUUAAUGUUUAUCUCAUCAGACUUUAAAGUGUCAAGUCUUGUUUGGAUUGUACAUUGAAGCUUUACGUUUUUAAAAACCAAUUUUGUAUUUUUCUUGCGGAGGUCUCUGCUUUUGUCGCUCUCCCAUGCUAGGCACACAUCUAGGUAGACACGAAGCAUCUAAAUUUGUGGGAGCUGGAUCAGCCGCCAGAUGAGAUGCAGGACCAAGGACCCCCACCUGCUGAAUAGCUUGCCUCCUGUAUGAAUGCCCAGAGCCGGACCGUGUUUUCUUUUAAAUGCGUGUCUUAAUACCAGAGUGGCAAAGGCAGCAGUCGUGCGGAGGAACGCUGCCCUGGACGUCGACUGUGAGGACAUUGUGAAGACUUUCCUGAAGGAGUCGAUGUUUGCGGAGCGUCCUGCGUCUGUGUCUGUCCUGGCCCUGGCGCGCGUGCUGUCUGUGUCCGUGUCUCGUCCUCUGUCUCCCUCUCCUCCCCUCCCCGCUCCGCUGGGCCCCCAGCCCCGUCUCGCCCGUAACUGGCCACGGACACACGCACUUUUUCUCCUUUGCGAUGUCGGAUGCAGUUGUGUGCCUUGUUCUUCAUUUUGAAAGCAGAUGCGUCAAACGUUCAUGUUGCUCUGGUUGACAACCCUCAAUAAAAGACAAAAAAAAAUGUUCUACA
rnacentral:lncRNA from 1 species